GCACUUCGGGAUAAGCCUGGGAAACUGGGUCUAAUACCGAAUAGGACCAUUUAGCGCAUGCUUUAUGGUGGAAAGCUUUUGCGGUGUGGGAUGGGCCCGCGGCCUAUCAGCUUGUUGGUGGGGUGACGGCCUACCAAGGCGACGACGGGUAGCCGGCCUGAGAGGGUGUCCGGCCACACUGGGACUGAGAUACGGCCCAGACUCCUACGGGAGGCAGCAGUGGGGAAUAUUGCACAAUGGGCGCAAGCCUGAUGCAGCGACGCCGCGUGGGGGAUGACGGCCUUCGGGUUGUAAACCUCUUUCAGCAGGGACGAAGCGCAAGUGACGGUACCUGCAGAAGAAGCACCGGCCAACUACGUGCCAGCAGCCGCGGUAAUACGUAGGGUGCGAGCGUUGUCCGGAAUUACUGGGCGUAAGGAGCUCGUAGGUGGUUUGUCGCGUUGUUCGUGAAAACCGGGGGCUUAACCCUCGGCGUGCGGGCGAUACGGGCAGACUGGAGUACUGCAGGGGAGACUGGAAUUCCUGGUGUAGCGGUGGAAUGCGCAGAUAUCAGGAGGAACACCGGUGGCGAAGGCGGGUCUCUGGGCAGUAACUGACGCUGAGGAGCGAAAGCGUGGGGAGCGAACAGGAUUAGAUACCCUGGUAGUCCACGCCGUAAACGGUGGGUACUAGGUGUGGGUUUCCUU
rnacentral:rRNA from 1 species